GGUAGCGUGGCCGAGUGGUCUAAGGCGCUAGUUUAAAGCACCAGUCUCUUCGGGGGCGUGGGUUCGAAUCCCGCCGCUGCCA
rnacentral:tRNA from 1 species